rnacentral:lncRNA from 1 species
GUUCUACUUGUCCCAUUUCCACGUUAUUUGUAAACGUUGAAAGCCUUUUAAAUGCAGGUAUAAUGACUAGCUCCUCUCUGUAGUUUCAGUGAGUGGUACCAGGCCUGACAUAGAGAGGGAAUGGAAUGCCCUACAGAAUGAGAACCCAGAAGGGAGACACUCAGCCCUGAAAAGCAGACUUCAGAUCAACUGAUUAAUUUUUUCAUCGACAGAAGCAAAAAAGGAAAAGAAAGAAGGAAGGAAAAGGACCGAGAGAACAGUGGUCACUUCCUUGCUGUGACCUGCUUGCCAGGGUCUGCAUGGAACAAGCGCUCGCUGCUCCUUUAUGAAGCUCCCCCCAUGGGACCCCAUGGUCCCUCCCCCUGUGGGAUCUUGUCACUGCAAGCUGGGUCUGCUCAGCUAUUUCCCUUGUGUCUGUGAUGCUGGAAUAAAGGGCUGAGAGGUCAUCA